UACAGAGGGGGCAAGCGUUAUUCGGAAUUAUUGGGCGUAAAGGGCGCGUAGGCGGCUUUGCAAGUGACGGGUGAAAGCCCUCGGCUUAACCGAGGAACUGCCUGUCAGACUGUGAGGCUUGAGACCGGGGAGAGGUGAGUGGAAUUCCCAGUGUAGCGGUGAAAUUCGUAGAUAUUGGGAAGAACACCAGUGGCGAAGGCGGCCACCUGGCUUGGUAUUGACGCUGAGGCGCGAAAGCGUGGGGAGCAAACAGG
rnacentral:rRNA from 1 species